rnacentral:snRNA from 1 species
UUACUUUGGUAGUACAUACACUAAAAUUGGAACAAUACAGAGAUUAGCAUGGCCCUGCACAAGGAUGACAUACAAAAUUUGUGAAGCAUUCCAUAUUAGG